UGAAGGACGUUUAUCUCGAGAUGAUGGUUCCUCAGCAAAGAAGUAUGGAAGCUUUGCUAGGAAGAAAGAGGGAGAGACUCAUGAUGUGUCCUCUCAUGUUAAAAGAAGGCCCUCUAUGAGGAGUAAGGAUGUACGUUCAACUGUCAACCAACACCAGGUGGCUCAUAUAGCACCUACUUUCAGAGAAGUUCAUCAACAACAACCACAACAACAACAACAUCGUCAACAACAACAGGCUUACCAGCCUCGCAAUAAUAACAACGCCAGCACCAACAACUACG
rnacentral:lncRNA from 1 species